rnacentral:lncRNA from 1 species
UUUUAAAGAAAGAAAGAAAAAUGGCCUUUAAAAAUAGGAUUCAUUUGAAUGUGAGUAUCUCUCAGAAUUCUGCAGAGGAGGUCUAGAUCAGUAGUUCUUUUUUCUUUUCUUUUUUUUUUUUUUUUUCUUUUGAGGGAGCAGGUACCAGAAAUUGAACCCAGGACACUCAACCACUGAGCCACAUUCCCAGUCCUUUUUGGUGUUUUUAUUUAGAGACAGGGUUUCACUGAGUUGCUUAGGGCCUCAUUUAGUUGCUGAGGCUGACUCUGAACUCAAGAUCCUCCUGCCUCAGCCUCCUAUGCCGCUGGGAUUACAGGCAUGUGCCACUGUGCCCGGCAUCAUGUCAGUAGUUCUUAACCUUCCUAUGUGUCCCUGGGCCCCUCUGUCAUCUAGUGAAGCCUGUGGAUCCCUUCUCAGAAAAAUGUUCUGAAGUGUGCAAAAUAAAAAUAAAAUAAGUGUCUCAGUGUGGGAAGCCAUUCUCACACGUGAUUGGGUACCUCCCUGACUGGGUGUGAGGCGCUCAGGCCAGCUAUGUCAGAGCUUUUCCCCACCCUUUUUAGGUGCGAGAGCCUGUCCGUGUGGGGGUAUGACUGGCCAUUGACCCUGAAACCAAUCACUGACCCUGAUCUUGGAAUGCUGUCUCCCUCGACCUUCAUUGGAUGGAAUUUUCCCCUGAAUUUUUUGUUCCCCAAUAAAAGCCCACUCUCUGGCGUGCUCUUCCUCUCUCCUGCUGGUCUCUUGUGUAAACCUCGUUACCACAUCAGGUGGCUCGAGGCAGGAGCCAGCAAGGGCCGUCUCUUAGCUGGGCAAGAAAAAGGUAAAUUGAGUUUAUGUGUCUUUAUUUUGAUCUCACUAGUUUAGAACCUCUAGUAUGAAGCUAGCGUGCUGGUUGCGCAGCAGAUCUCAGUCUGUUUUUUGUUUUGUUUCUGCUGAAACAGAAUUCUAUAAGCUGGGAAAACUAUCUGGCUCACAGUUCUGAAGGUUGGGAAGUCCAAGACGGAUAGGCAAUAUCUGGCGAGGACCAUAACAUGGCAGAAGUAUCACAUGGUGAUCUCUCAGGAGAGAGAUUCAGAAAGAGACAAACAGAAAGGGUGCUAUUCUCCCCAUCCCAUAACUAACCUACUCCUAUAAUAAAGGCCUU